rnacentral:sRNA from 1 species
GAUCAAAAAUACCUCAAAAAAAGUUUCUGUGCGUACGGAAUAAAAACAAAUAAAAAUU